AAAUAAUGUGUGUACUUAUCUAUGCAGAAACAUAAUUUAUCUUUUUAAAUAAAAAAAUAAACAUUUUAUUUUUAAAAAACUCUGCGAAACUUCAUGCGGAUUGUGUUUCAUAAUUGUAAUUUUAGUUUUUUAAGUGUGUGAAAAAAUUGUUUUCCUGAUAGCGUGCUGUAACUUUGAUGUGGCUUUGAAAUUGAGAUUAAAAAUAGUUUAUUUGCUCUACUAAUGGAUACUUACUUAUCGUUGAAAACAAAUCAUUGUGUCAAUUUAGAAUGUGUAUAUCUUUGUCCUAAAUUUAAGUUAAAUCGAUUAUAUUCUCACGACAGCUGGACUUAUGCGCACAGAAAUGUAUACAGAGGCCAAAAAAUGCCUAAAUAUUUUAUACAAAAGUGCAUGAAAAGACAUGGCGGCUUCCUGUAGUGUGGGUAUUUUAAUGUACAAAAUAAAACCUGAUUGAUUGAA